AUGUUCCCUGAAGGUUUACUAAUACUCCUAUGGAGUCAGCUUAAAUGGGUGAGCGGACAACAGCUGAAUCAGAAUCCUCCAUCUAUGUCCAUCCAAGAAGGAGAGGAUGUCACCAUGAACUGCAGUUUCACAAGUAUAUUUUUCACUUUGCUAUGGUACAAACAGAAUCCGGGGCCAGGUCCUGUCCUCUGGAUGAUCUUAAAUAAAGGAGGUGAAUUGACCAGAAAUGGAAAAUUGACUGCUAAGCUUGGUGAAGCAAGAAAAGACAGCUUCAUGCAUAUCUCAGCCUAUGCCCCUGAAGAUGUAGGCAUCUACUUCUGUGCUGGUAGCACUAGAAACAGUUACCCCAAGGUGACAUUUGGGCCAGGAACAAGUUUAUCAGUCAUCCCACAUAUUAAGAAUCCUGACCCUUCUGUGUACCAGCUGAGAAAACAUAAAGUCAACAAUGCAAGUGUCUGCUUAUUCACUGAUUUUGAUUCUCAAGUCAACGUAUCACAAAGCACAGACAAUGAAGCAUUUAAGUCAGGCACAACUGUACUGGACAUGAGAUCCACACAUUCCAAGAGCAAUGGCGCCCUGGCCUGGAGCACAGAUGCCAAUUUUGAAUGUAAAGAUGCCUUCGAUGAGCAAGACUUUUUCCCUAACUCAGGAAUUCCCUGUGAUGCCAAGUCGGAAGAGAAAAGCUUUGAAACAGACAUGAACCUAAACCUGCAAAACCUGUCGGUGAUUGGGCUCCGCAUUCUCUUCCUGAAAGUGGCCGGGUUUAACCUCCUCAUGACGCUGCGGCUGUGGUCCAGUUGAGGUCAACAAGACUAUGAGAGAGCCUGUGGCCCUCACUUCUUCCUUCUUGUCACUGUGCCUCUCCAUCCUCAAGCAGAGGGGUGCUCCCCACCUCCAUGAAAAAGAUGGCUCCCACCUCAACUGGCAAGGCCACCACUGGAUCCUACCUGGAUUUGUGAUCAAGAUGCUGGUGAGCUGCCAGACCAGCUGCCACUCACUCUGUUCCCUGUUGCUGCUUGUCACUACCUGAUAUUCAUGGCAAACUCCCCAGCCCUCCCCAAAGACUGCCUCUGCCAUCCUACGGACUGAUGGGACCCAAGCUCCUGGAGAAUGUUGCGAGUUUAUAUUUUUUAAAUAGUGUUCAUAAAGAAAUAUAUAUUACUCUUUUGCCCAAGACGAGGGGGGAAGUAUCUUAUCAUCUUGGGCCUGCUAUGCUGUGUAUCCGAGCCACCUUGUGUAUUCUGCUGCCCGUGCUUCAUUAAAAGUGAUGUGGAAGAACGGAGGCUGUGCUCCUGUU